rnacentral:ncRNA from 1 species
GUUUGUGUUUUUAAAUGGUGAAUAUUGAAUAUUACAAUCAACUCCUCGUGAUAUAAAUAAAAGGUAAUGACAUUAGCCCCUUCAAAUCUUUCUAUAUGCUGGAAACUCUUAAAGGCUUAAGUACUAUAUAAAAUUCAUAUUUAAUUUUAUAAGUAAAAAUCUUAAGUAUAUCUAGACAAUCAGCAGGAAACCAACGGAUAAUAUAGAUUUAUUCUAGUAGGAUCCUCAGAGACUACACGAAAGAGAUGGUAUAGCGUAAAGUCUGUACCAUUAAGACAUAGUCCAAUUUGUUUGUAAUGUAACAU